UACGAACCGUCCUAACGUUAUUCGGAAUCACUGGGCUUAAAGGGUGCGUAGGCGGCCCGGAAAGUUGGGUGUGAAAUCCCUCGGCUCAACCGAGGAAUUGCGCCCAAAACUGCCGGGCUCGAGGGAGACAGAGGUGAGCGGAACUUAGGGUGGAGCGGUGAAAUGCGUUGAUAUCCUAAGGAACACCGGUGGCGAAAGCGGCUCACUGGGUCUUUGCUGACGCUGAGGCACGAAAGCCAGGGGAGCGAACGGG
rnacentral:rRNA from 1 species